UACGAAGGGUGCAAGCGUUACUCGGAAUUACUGGGCGUAAAGCGUGCGUAGGUGGUUUGUUAAGUCUGAUGUGAAAGCCCUGGGCUCAACCUGGGAAUUGCAUUGGAUACUGGCAGGCUAGAGUGCGGUAGAGGAUGGCGGAAUUCCCGGUGUAGCAGUGAAAUGCGUAGAUAUCGGAAGGAACACCAGUGGCGAAAGCGGCUUCCUGGUCCAGCACCGACGUUCAGGCACGAAAGCGUGGGGAGCAAACAGG
rnacentral:rRNA from 1 species